CAAUUAAAGGGGUACGUGAGCUGGGUUCAGUACGUCGUGAGACAGUACGGUCUCUAUCUACCGUGGGCGUAGGAAACUUGAGAGGAGUCGUUCCUAGUACGAGAGGACCGGAAUGAACAUACCGCUGGUGUUUCGGUUGUCCCGCCAGGGGCAUUGCCGAGUAGCCAAGUAUGGAUUUGAUAAACGCUGAAAGCAUAUAAGUGUGAAGCUUACCUCAAGAUAAGGUUUCCCUGAAGGGCACUUGUAGACUACAAGUUUGAUAGGCUAGAAGUGUAUAUGUAGUAAUACAAAUAGCUAACUAGUACUAAUUUGCCCGUUUGGCUUGUUUAU
rnacentral:rRNA from 1 species